rnacentral:ncRNA from 1 species
AGGAGCUGUAUGAGGCGAAAGCUCCAUGUAUGGUUUGGAAGCCGAGUCUUUCCUGCCUAGGGACCGAUAUUUAAAAUAAUUUAUAUGUAUUUGGUUAUAGACCCGGAUCCCAU